rnacentral:rRNA from 1 species
GAUGAACGCUGGCGGCGUGCCUAAUACAUGCAAGUCGAGCGAACAGACGAGGAGCUUGCUCCUCUGACGUUAGCGGCGGACGGGUGAGUAACACGUGGAUAACCUACCUAUAAGACUGGGAUAACUUCGGGAAACCGGAGCUAAUACCGGAUAAUAUAUUGAACCGCAUGGUUCAAUAGUGAAAGACGGUUUUGCUGUCACUUAUAGAUGGAUCCGCGCCGCAUUAGCUAGUUGGUAAGGUAACGGCUUACCAAGGCAACGAUGCGUAGCCGACCUGAGAGGGUGAUUGGCCACACUGGAACUGAGACACGGUCCAGACUCCUACGGGAGGCAGCAGUAGGGAAUCUUCCGCAAUGGGCGAAAGCCUGACGGAGCAACGCCGCGUGAGUGAUGAAGGUCUUCGGAUCGUAAAACUCUGUUAUUAGGGAAGAACAAAUGUGUAAGUAACUAUGCACGUCUUGACGGUACCUAAUCAGAAAGCAACGGCUAACUACGUG